CAUAUCGCCUCCAUGUUCGAAUCACAAAAGGACAUUAAAAACGAUAAAGGAUUUCCAAAAGAGAAAUUUGUAAUGAGCUCCAACGUGUCUGUGGUAUUUCUGACCAUCAAGACAGUGAACGUAUCGGACUCUUUACUGUACUUCUGUGGAUACUACGUUUCAAGGAGUCCUAUAAUUAUUGAAGCAACACAUUUCGAAGUUCAUGGUCGUGGCGAUUCGUACCAGAAUCCACAUCACCAGGGACGAGACGAGGAUGAUCUGGAUGAUGCAGCUGUGACAGAAGACCGUCACCACACGGAGACACCGAUCUGAGUGUGAUUUAUUCAGUCCCAGCAUGUGUGUUUGUGAGAGAGUGGGCGUGGCCAGAUGCGUUCAAGUGCAUACUGGGAAGCAGGCUCAGAAACAGCCUGUUCUGAGGAGGGCUCGUCAGAGCAACUUUUUAGACUGCUGAAACUCUGAACAAAGGAUUAAUUUGGGGCAAGCAAACUUUAAUACUAUGUUUUUGGGCUUCUGAGACCUAUAUGUCGUGACUGAAUAAUAGCAUCAUAUGUCCUCUUUAAGUGUAAAAUUACUUAGGUUUGAAUUUCUGUUAAUGAGCUGGAGGCGAGGCUAUUUCCUCCUAUGUAUGUACAGUGGCAGUCAGCUCUGAAAUGUCUUCAUACUUCCUCCAUUUGUGCUGCCAUAGAGUCUUACAAUGAAAAGUACUUCAUAGAGCCAAUUGGUCUAAAAGUAAAUGAGCUCACAUACAUCCUGGUAUCGAUCCUAACGGUAAUCGAUGCCACACAGGACCAGCUAGUCUUGCACACACGUUUUGGACCUGCCCAGCACUGUUCCAGUAUUGGGAAUCUGGAUUUGCUUUACUCUCUGCCGUCACACCUGUCACCAUUCUUCCCUCUCCACUAUUUGGCCUGUUUGGGGUCUGACCUUCUGACCAGAUACUGCCCUCCCAUUUUGCUGAUUUUAUAGUCUUCCUCACCUUGAUAGAAAGACGUGCAAUCUUGAUACAUUGGAAGAGCCCCCACUCACCCUCCCACACCAGGUGGAUUAAGGAUGUCUUCACCUUUUUGAAACCGGAAAAAAUAGAUACUCCCUGCAAAGUCUCAAUACAAAGUUUAUUGAAUGUGAAAUUUAAAUUGAAAUUGAACUUGAAAGUCCUUUAUUUGUCCCACAGGGGGAAAUUGCAGUGUUACAGCAGCAAAAGAAAAGAAAUAUAAAUAGGAUACAAAUGUGAAAUGUGAGAAUUUACAAAGUAA